AACGAACGCUGGCGGCAGGCUUAACACAUGCAAGUCGAGCGCAUCCUUCGGGGUGAGCGGCAGACGGGUGAGUAACGCGUGGGGAUGUGCCUGGUGGUACGGAACAACUCAGGGAAACUUGAGCUAAUACCGUAUAAGCCCUUUUGGGGAAAGAUUUAUCGCCACCAGAUCAACCCGCGUUGGAUUAGCUAGUUGGUGAGGUAACGGCUCACCAAGGCGACGAUCCAUAGCUGGUCUGAGAGGAUGAUCAGCCACACUGGGACUGAGACACGGCCCAGACUCCUACGGGAGGCAGCAGUGGGGAAUAUUGGACAAUGGGCGCAAGCCUGAUCCAGCCAUGCCGCGUGAGUGAUGAAGGCCUUAGGGUUGUAAAGCUCUUUCACUGGGGAAGAUAAUGACGGUACCCAGAGAAGAAGCCCCGGCUAACUUCGUGCCAGCAGCCGCGGUAA
rnacentral:rRNA from 1 species